rnacentral:misc_RNA from 1 species
GAUGAAGAACGUAGCGAAAUGCGAUAAGUAAUGUGAAUUGCAGAAUUCAGUGAAUCAUCGAAUCUUUGAACGCACAUUGCGCCCCGUGGUAUUCCGCGAGGCAUGCCUGUUCGAGCGUCAUUACACCACUCAAGCCUCGCUUGGUAUUGGGCGACGCGGUACGCCGCGCGCCUCAAAUCUUCCGGCUGGUUCGAAUCGUCCCUCAGCGUUGUGGAAACUAUUCGCUAAAGGUGCGCGUUUCGGUCACGCCGUUAAACAAGCCAAUUUCAUUAAAGGUUGACCUCGGAUCAGGUAGGGAUACCCGCUGAACUUAAGCAUAUCAAUAAGCGGAGGA